GGAGACCGGUCAGGACGCGAAGGUCCCGGCCACCAGGCUGCUUGGGGCCUAUCCAGUUCCUGCCCUCCCCACAGGCGGUGACGUGCAACCAAGCAGAGUCCCAUGAAGCCCAAACAGAGAACAUGCGAGACGGACACAGCUUGCCUCAGAGGCCCCGGAUGUGAAUGGGGGAUCUGGAUUUGAUCUGCAUGUUAGGAAUCAGACCUCACGCCUUGCCUCUGCCACCGCGUGGCUGUGAGGGCCCCACACGUUAUUACUGGGCAUAACCUGCCGGGUGGGGAGCCGUCAUCUCUGCUGUGUGCAGAGAGGCAGGCCGGGGAAUAGAAUUCGCUUUUGAAGGAUGUUCAGUCACAGCAGGAAAAGUGCUCUGUGAGCUGUGUGUACACAGCCAGGCCGCCGCCUUGAACCUCCGGAGCUGGCAAGCCCUGGGCAGAGUUGGUGCCAUUGGUCCAUUGCUAGUGCUCAGUACUAAGAGCAUCUGCCCUAAGCUGAGACGUAAUGAGCAGCUGCAGGGCGGGGCACAGGCUUGUGCACUCCCCACCCUGAAGGCCCCGCUGCAGGGGGGAAGAUGGAAAAGAUGAGACUGUCUGCUCACCUGGUGGGAUCACUGGCACCACAGCUUCCAAUGUCAGCUGCCUGUCUACCUGUCGAGUCUUCAGCUUUGCCUCUCCCCCCAACUCCACCACUGAGACUGAACUGUGAGGCCUCGUGUCCCACAGGCCAGUUCCUGCUCAGGCGCCGGGUCACCUCCCAGGGACACCGUUCCGCACUCCUGGCCAAGUCCAGCCCUCUCCGAUGUUGCCAAAGCCACCCAUCCAGUUGCCUUCCUGCCAAGCAGCACCCUCCCUGAGGGCAGGGCCCACGUGUGCAGCAGCAGAGACCCCCUCCAGGAGCAGUGGAGGAGGAAACUCACCUGGAAGGUGGCACACCACGGGGAUGCCCAGCUUCUUGAGGUCAUCUGCGUUGCCGACGCCAGAAAGCAUGAGCAGCUGCGGGGAGUUGAUGGCACCUCCACUCAGAAUCACCUCCUUGCUGGCGUAAGCCUGGAAGAGGCAGCGGGCCCAGCAGGUCACACUUCCCUUCCCAAAGGCAGACAGAACCUGAGAGCGUGGCCUCGGCCUGGGAAGAGGAUGCCCAGGGUGCUGUGUGAAAGCUCCCCACCUGUUCGGCUCUCGCAGGCACUCAUAGAUAAAUAAAUCAUGAUUAUACUCAAA